GAAGGCGGUCCCAAGGGUUUGGCUGUUCGCCAAUUAAAGCGGUACGCGAGCUGGGUUCAGACCGGCGUGAGCCAGGUCGGUCCCUAUCUGCUGUGGGCGGAGGAAUCUUGACGGCACCUCUUCCAGCGAACGAGAGGAGUAGGAAGGACGCACCCCGGGAGUACCAGUUGUCGCGCUAGCGGCACGGCUGGGUAGCUAUGUCCGGAAAGGAUAAACGCUGAAAGCAUCUAAGCGUGAAGCCAACACCAAGAUUAUGAUUCCCAUGAGACCCCCGGUAGACUACCGGGUUGAUAGGCCAGAGCUGUAAGGUCCGAAAGGAUUUCAGGUUACUGGUACUAACGGUCGAUCGACUUGACCAC
rnacentral:rRNA from 1 species